rnacentral:rRNA from 1 species
AAUCAACGCUGGCGGCGUGCCUCAGACAUGCAAGUCGAACGCGAAAUUUCCCUUCGGGGAGAAAGUAGAGUGGCGCACGGGUGAGUAACACGUAGGUAAUUUGCCUUUGGGUGGGGAAUAACUCAGGGAAACUUGAGCUAAUACCGCAUAAUGCAGCGGCUCGACAUCGAGACAGUUGUUAAAGCGGGGGAUUGGAGCAAUCCGACCUCGCGCCUAAAGAGAAGCCUGCGGCAGAUUAGCUAGUUGGUAAGGUAAUGGCUUACCAAGGCGACGAUCCGUAACCGGCCUGAGAGGGCGGUCGGUCACACUGACACUGACAUACGGGUCAGACUCCUACGGGAGGCAGCAGUCGGGAAUUUUGGGCAAUGGGCGCAAGCCUGACCCAGCAACGCCGCGUGAAGGAUGAAAUUUUUCGGAAUGUAAACUUCGCAAGAACAGAAGAAUAAGUGUGGACAAUACCCACAUGAUGACGGUACUGUUUGUAAGCUCCGGCUAACUCCGUG